CUUUUCUCCUCCUCAACAACCAAACUCGCCGCUGCCAGCGGGAGGCAGAUUGGCCUGUGCCUUAGGAUGUGCUUUUAGGGAUAAAAAGGGAACCCAUUAGGAUGAGCUGUCUCUGCAAGCUGCCAGGACAGCCACGUAACAGGCACACAACAUCCAACUUUGCUCCCUCCUCCCUGAUGGGUGAUAAAUAACGGGUGGCAAACGCUACCUGCUUGCCUGCAGCCCCGAAGUCAGGGAGGGAGAGUGAUGAACGGGCACCCGGGGCAGCGAUGCAUGGGUGCCUGGGCAAGAGCUGCAUGGCCAUCUGGGAUGUUUCUGGUUAACGCACCUCAUGGGCUGCAGUCCCGGACCUGCCAGCGCAUGGGAAAUCAGGCGGUAUCAUCCCCGCAACCUCUGAGGGUCUCUGCUUCUGCAGACCCUCCUUUGAGGGGAAAUAAAUUUUCUUGAAAAAG